rnacentral:lncRNA from 1 species
CGCUGAGCUAAAUUUCUGGCCCCUCCUUACGCUUUUUUAGGUUGGCUUCCCUGUUGAUUUUUGGCUCACUGGUUUUGUCCUGCCACAUGGGUCUUGUUCAAGUAAAUCUUUCUCUUGGUGCUCUUGUAAAUCUGUUAAUGAGUUUGGGCUUGGAAGGUCCUGUAAGUCUCCCCAGUGUUAUUUGCUAAGUAAGGUGGACAGAACACUCAGAGUUAUAAACAGAGACCAGCAGCCAGCAAAGAUCAGCAGCGGGGAGCAGCAGCUUGGCAAAGUCCACUGAUUGGCAGCUGGUGGUGGCCGUGUGGACAGCUAUCAUGCUAAAGGCUGAGGGCCAUUGGCACUUGAAGCCUCAGGAUGCUCCAGAGCUGCACUUUCCCGAUAUAAUGAAUCUACCAGAAGAACCUUCACUUUACUGAUGACAUUUUCUUCUCUGGUGCUCUUGUCCUGUGCUCUGUGUCCUGGAACUGUAUGCCUUUCCGCCAUGAUGUCUCUGGGUUGGAACCAGUCAGCCAUGGACUGAACCCUCCGAAACCAUGAGCCAGCUGCUACGCAGUGUUAGUCCCUCCAGCUCCAAUGCAAACUGGGCAUCCACGGUGCCUAUACGUCGUACCCCCUCAGGACUCAAGACUGCAGAAGCACUGGCCUUGGGCCCAGCCGACCUACAUCCUGACAGGUGGCCAGCAGGUUUUCUUGCCUCCUCCUCCUCUUCACGGAGGUAAUUCUGGAGUCAGGAAGGUGCAUGAAGACAGACAAAGCUCAGGUGCUCUCUGCCAGGAGCCAUGGACCACAGGGAAUUGGGU